rnacentral:rRNA from 1 species
GGACGAACGCUGGCGGCGUGCUUAACACAUGCAAGUCGAGCGGUAAGGCCCUUUCGGGGGUACACGAGCGGCGAACGGGUGAGUAACACGUGGGUGACCUGCCCUCAGCUCUGGGAUAAGCCCGGGAAACUGGGUCUAAUACUGGAUAUUACUCUGCGGUGCAUGCCGUGGGGUGGAAAGCCUUGUGCGGCUGGGGGAUGGGCCCGCGGCCUAUCAGCUUGUUGGUGGGGUGAUGGGCCACCAAGGCGACGACGGGUAGCCGGCCUGAGAGGGCGACCGGGCCAC